UGCGUUAUCGUUUGAGGGCUCCGUUUCCGCGGUUCCGUUACGGCCUCGUGUGGACGAACCGUCCAUAUGAUAAAGAACUAUAGCGGAUAACACCUGUUUCGUCUCCGUGCGGACGGGGCCUAAAAAAGCAGGAUAAUCAACUUCCAUCUCAAGGCUGUUCCUAUACUGACAUUUUGAGUUCCCAGAGAAAACUCGACCGGUGAGUUUCAAACAUCCUGUGUUCCAGUGUCCGGACAUGCGCCCUUCUCCCUCUGUCCCCUCCUCAGUUGAGUUUGUGAAGGCGGCAGAUAUCAAAGUCAUUGCUGCCCUGGGGGAUUCACUGACA